GGAAGGAUCAUUACCGAGUGAGGGUCCCUCGUGGCCCAACCUCCCACCCGUGUAGACCGACACCUGUUGCUUCGGCGGGUCCGCCAGGGCUCUCGCCCGGCCGCCGGGGGGCGUUAUCGCCCCCGGGCCCGCGCCCGCCGAAGACCCCUCGAACGCUGCCUUGAAGGUUGCCGUCUGAGUAUGAAAUCAAUCGUUAAAACUUUCAACAACGGAUCUCUUGGUUCCGGCAUCGAUGAAGAACGCAGCGAAAUGCGAUAAGUAAUGUGAAUUGCAGAAUUCCGUGAAUCAUCGAAUCUUUGAACGCACAUUGCGCCCCCUGGCAUUCCGGGGGGCAUGCCUGUCCGAGCGUCAUUGCUAACCCUCCAGCCCGGCUGGUGUGUUGGGCCGCCGUCCCCUCCGGGGGACGGGCCCGAAAGGCAGCGGCGGCGCCGCGUCCGGUCCUCGAGCGUAUGGGGCUUUGUCACGCGCUCUGGUAGGCCCGGCCGGCUUGCUGGCCAACGACCUCACGGUCACCUAACUUUCUCUCUUAGGUUGACCUCGGAUCAGGUAGGG
rnacentral:rRNA from 1 species